UCAACUAUAGUAGUGAAAUACUUUGUUGUCCGUUCCCUCAUUUUCUCACAGAUUUUCAUGAUGGAUCAGCCUAUUUUCACCUGUUUCACUCCUGCUAUGCGGAUGGUAUGGGAGGAACAGUCCAUUCUGAUACUCUCUGGUCUUUAGGGGGCUUAAACAUAACGUUCUCUGAAGAAGAGAAAAACGUAUGGAAAUACAUUUCUAUUAACAUAUUCCCUUUUGUUAUAGCCUGUCAAACUGCAGCCAAGGUAUUACCUUACCCAUGCUGGGAACAUGCUGGUGAGAGAGCUGUCAGUAUUAAAUACACAGAUUUUCAUGAUGGAGCAGCCUACUUUCAUCUGUUUCACUCCUGUAGGGAGAAUGGUAUGGGAGGAACUGUCUUCUCAAACUGAACAGCCAAAUAGUGAAGAUUCUGGUUUUCCCUAUGAGAAGAUGCAGCUGGUUGGGAACUGGGGUUUGUUUCAUUUCCAUACCUGGAUAAUCCGUUAUG